UAUCCUCCUUUAUCUAUCAUAGGCGUAUAAUAUUUACUGUAAUAUCCUUCUACUACUAUCUUCAUUAAUACAUAUAUCUUCAUUUCAUGUUAAGGCUCUUUUUAAGAAUAACUUUUCUUGGUUAUAUGUUAAGGUUAAUUGUGUAUGUUCUAUAUUAUAUGGUUUUACUUGUUCCAACCAUUUUAUUCCUAAUAUUAUAUCUGCUUUUUGCAUUUCUUCCUUUACUUCGAAUUCUAUUUUUAUUUUUCUAACUCCUAUUGUUAUUUCUUUUUCUGCUAUAUUUUUAGUGUUUAUUAAGCUUCUUGGU
rnacentral:lncRNA from 1 species